rnacentral:rRNA from 1 species
UACGUAGGGCGCAAGCGUUAUCCGGAAUUAUUGGGCGUAAAGAGCUCGUAGGCGGUCUGUUACGUCGGCUGUGAAAACCUGGGGCUCAACCCCGGGCCUGCAGCCGAUACGGGCAGACUAGAAUUCGGUAGGGGAGACUGGAAUUCCUGGUGUAGCGGUGAAAUGCGCAGAUAUCAGGAGGAACACCGGUGGCGAAGGCGGGUCUCUGGGCCGAUAUUGACGCUGAGGAGCGAAAGCGUGGGGAGCGAACAGG